rnacentral:lncRNA from 1 species
UAACCGCUGGCUGAGGUUCGCUAGUACUACCAUGUUCAUAAUCAGCUUCCCCAUGAUGAUACCAAAUUUUGUAACUUCGUGUAAACCCACUCAAAUAUAGAUGAGUCCAAACAUCUCACUCUUUAAUAACCUUUCUAUUUUUACAAUUAGAGCAAGAACAUCUUAACAUACCUGUUUUUGCUUCCGGUUUUCGGUGAACUAACCCCAUGAAUUCGGUUAUACCUCGUUGGUAUUCUUCCGUAAGCAAUCUCGUGUUCGGAUCCAAAUGAGGUCGAUCGAUCCAAGAACGAAAAUAAUUUGAAGACAUAUUUUUUAUGAAUCAAAUUCGUGUGUAAAGAGAGUAAGAGGGAGGAUGAAGAUAUGGAGUGAAUGAAGAGGAAGAGGGGUGCUUGUAUUUAUAGUUGAAAUCCUGCCGACAAACCAAGGAAAUUCCGACGGAAUUCUGACGGAAACGGCUAGUUCGUCGGAAUUUCCUCGGAAUUUUUAAAA